GAGCCUGACCCUUGACAAUUCCACGUUUCCUGGCCCAAAAAACAUACUUCAUUUUCUGAAUAGACGCGCUUUAGUGGCAUCAAAAUUUCCAUUGACUGGCACUUCUAUCAAACAACAGACUAUUACGACCUGUGAAUCACGACCUGUUUGGGGGUUUCGAAUUCUUCUAUGCCCCAAAUAACACGACUCAUUCCUUAAUCACGAUCUGUCAAUUUCCUAGUUGUAUUCCUGUGCUUCCCUUUUUCUAUUUUUAAACUUGUAUUGGUUUGUCACUUACCCUGAGCCUUCCCAGCAAAUAUGCAUACCCUUCUGCUUCAAUCGUUGUUUCCCUUGCUCUUGAUCACUUCCUUUCUUUCGAUCAACGUUGAGUUAAGUCUAUGCCAGGACAAUGAACAAUAUACAAACUGCAGCGAAGCUAUUAACUGCGGUGGCAUCGGAGGCAUCUCAUACCCCUUUUGGGGAGUAAACCGGGCUAAUUACUGUGGUCUGCCGGGGUUCGAGGUCAAAUGCCUAGAGAAUGCCCCCAUGAUCAACAUGUCGAAUGUCAACUACAGAAUUCUUAAAACGGACUCUAGUGCUCCCUCUGUUACAGUUGCUAGGCAGGACUAUUGGGGAACUCUCUGUCCUCCGACUUACGUCAACACCAGCAUCAACUUCUCUCUGUUUAAUUAUCCUUCUGGGCUUACAAACCUGACAUUUUACUACGCGUGCAAUUCAACUGUCCCGGGGCUGGAGGUUAACUUUACUUCCCAAGUUUGCAGUACGAACAACGGUGACAUUGCUGUUUGGUCUUUCACCCGGAGUCUCCCAGUUGAUGUAGCUGCUCUUGCUACCCGCGCCUGUACAGCUGGGGUCAGUGUUCCGGUUUUUACUACAGCUGCCCUGGCUCUAGAGGCCAAUCGAACAACUAUCCAGGAAGUCGUAGAUGAGGGCUUUGAAUUGGGAUUGGAGAUUGAUAAUGUUGAAUGCAACAGUUGUGUGCAAUCAGGAGGGAAGUGUGGGCAUAACGCUACUGGUGGAUUCAGUUGCUUUUGCCUGGAUCAGGCCUAUGCAGCCGUAUGUAAUGCAACUGCACCGGGAGCACAAGGAAAAAAGAAGGAUAUCGCAAUGGGUUUGGCUACUGGAUUUUACGUGAUGGUAAUCAUUCUUUGUAGUAUAUGCAUAUGGUGGAAGCGAAAUGUCCGAAAAUCGCUCCCGCACAUAUCAAGCGAAAGAAUGGUCUCAUUCGUCCAGAAAGAUAAGAGGGAUGAGUUUGAUGUUGAGGCAUUUAUAAGGAACUAUGGAUCGCUUACUCCAAAGCGGUAUACCUAUGAAAAUGUCAAGAAAAUGACAGACUCUUUCAGAGACAAAAUAGGUAAAGGUGGAUAUGGAACUGUGUACAAAGGCAGGCUACCUGAUGGGCUUCUGGUGGCGGUCAAAGUCCUAAGCGAGUCCAAGGAGAAGACUUUAUUAAUGAAGUUGCUAGCAUUGGUAGAACCUCCCAUGUCAACAUAGUCACUCUUUCUGGAUUCUGUUAUGAGGGGGACAAUCGAGCUUUGAUUUAUGAAUACAUGCCUAAUGGAUCUCUGGAUAAUUUCAUACAUAAGCACGGGUCUGGAAUGGCAAAUUUUCUCUUAGAAUGGAAAACACUAUCUGAAAUUGCAGUUGGUAUUGCGCGAGGACUAGAAUACCUACACCGUGGAUGUAACACAAGAAUUUUGCAUUUUGACAUAAAACCACAGAACAUUCUUCUCGACAAAGAUUUUCGCCCAAAAAUCUCUGAUUUUGGCCUUGCCAAAUUAUGUAAAACGAAGGACAGUAUUGUAUCGAUGACUGGGGCAAGAGGAACUGCAGGAUACAUUGCACCAGAAGUGUUUAGCCGGAACUUUGGUGGAGUAUCUCACAAAUCUGAUGUUUACAGCUACGGUAUGUUGGUUCUUGAAAUGGUUGGAGCAAAAAAUAAUUUGGAUUUGGGAGUGUCUCAUACGAGUGAAAUAUUUCCACAUCAUGUUUAUAAAGAUCUAGAGCUAGAAAAGGAUGAAAAUGUAUUUGGGGCAAUCACAGAGGAGGAAAAAGAAAUAGCAAGAAAGAUGGUAUUAAUAAGUUUGUGGUGCAUUCAGACCAUUCCUUCUGAUCGGCCAUCAAUGAGCAAAGUUGUAGAGAUGUUGGAAGGACCCCUUCAUUCCUUGCGAAUUGCACCCAAACCUUUCUUGUUUUCUCCUACAAUAGCUGCAGAAGACUGUAUGACUACAACCAGUGGCGGAUCCACCAUGAGGUCAAUAGCUGCAGAGGACUGUAUGACUACAACCAGUGGCGGAUCCACCAUGGGGCCAAUGGUGUCAGACGGCCCCAUGGCAGCCCUGGAAAUGGCUUUGAGGUCCCAUGUUGGCCUUGGCAGCCAUGGGAGACGACCCCACAUGGAGAAGAAGACAUGCAAGCUGUGAGGGAGAAGAUAGAGGGAGGAAGAAAAGAAAGGGAAAGAGAGGGAGGAAGAAGAAGAAGACAAU